UACGUAGGGUGCGAGCGUUGUCCGGAAUUACUGGGCGUAAAGAGCUCGUAGGUGGUUUGUCGCGUUGUCCGUGAAAACUCACAGCUCAACUGUGGGCGUGCGGGCGAUACGGGCAGACUGGAGUACUGCAGGGGAGACUGGAAUUCCUGGUGUAGCGGUGGAAUGCGCAGAUAUCGGGAAGAACACCCGUGGCGAAGGCGGCUCUCUGGGACGGUACUGACGCUGAGACGCGAAAGCGUGGGGAGCGAACAGG
rnacentral:rRNA from 1 species